rnacentral:rRNA from 1 species
AUACGGAGGGGACAAGCGUUAUUCGGAAUCACUGGGCGUAAAGGACGCGUAGGCGGGUUAUUAAGUCGGGUGUGAAAUCCAAUGGCUCAACCAUUGAACUGCAUUCGAAACUGAUAACCUAGAGUAUGGAAGGGGCAGGUGGAAUUAGUGGUGUAGGGGUAAAAUCCGUAGAUAUCACUAGGAAUACCGAAAGCGAAGGCGACCUGCUGGGACAUUACUGACGCUGAGGCGUGAGAGCGUGGGGAGCAAACAGGAUUAGAAACCCUAGUAGUCC